rnacentral:misc_RNA from 1 species
AAGUCGUAACAAGGUCUCCGUUGGUGAACCAGCGGAGGGAUCAUUGCUGGAACGCGCCUCGGCGCACCCAGAAACCCUUUGUGAACUUAUACCUUACUGUUGCCUCGGCGUCAGGCCGGCCUCCCUGCUGAGGCCCCUCGGUAACGAGGAGCAGCCCGCCGGCGGCCAAGUUAACUCUUGUUUUUACACUGAAACUCUGAGAAAUAAACAUAAAUAAAUCAAAA